UGCGUAGGCGGUCCCGCAAGUCCGCUGUGAAAUCCCCGGGCUUAACCUGGGAAUGGCAGUGGAAACUAGGGGACUUGAAUCUGGCAGAGGGGGGUGGAAUGCCACGUGUAGCAGUGAAAUGCGUAGAGAUGUGGCGGAACACCGAUGGCGAAGGCAGCCCCCUGGGCUGAGAUUGACGCUCAGGCACGAAAGCGUGGGGAGCAAACAGAAUUAGAUACCCUGGUAGUCCACGCCCUAAACGAUGAUCACUAGGUGUUGGGGAAGCGAUUUCUCAGUACCGCAGCUAACGCGUGAAGUGAUCCGCCUGGGGAGUACGGUCGCAAGAUUAAA
rnacentral:rRNA from 1 species